rnacentral:misc_RNA from 1 species
AUGAACCUUGAAGAAUGCCGGAAAGUUUGCUUGAGAAAUUGCUCUUGUAUGGCUUAUUCAAAUCUUGACAUACGCAAUGGAGGAACCGGUUGCUUACUGUGGUUUGAAGAUCUACUAGAUAUUCGACAGCUAGCCAAAGAAGGACAAGAUAUCUACAUUAGAAUGGCUGCCUCAGAAUUAGCUAGUCAGGUGAAAUCAAAUGGACACAAAGGAAAA